rnacentral:rRNA from 1 species
CACGUCAGGAUGAACGCUGGCGGCGUGCUAAUACAUGCAAGUCGAACGCUUUGUGGUUCAACUGAUUUGAAGAGCUUGCUCAGAUAUGACGAUGGACAUUGCAAAGAGUGGCGAACGGGUGAGUAACACGUGGGAAACCUACCUCUUAGCAGGGGAUAACAUUUGGAAACAGAUGCUAAUACCGUAUAACAAUAGCAACCGCAUGGUUGCUACUUAAAAGAUGGUUCUGCUAUCACUAAGAGAUGGUCCCGCGGUGCAUUAGUUAGUUGGUGAGGUAAUGGCUCACCAAGACGAUGAUGCAUAGCCGAGUUGAGAGACUGAUCGGCCACAAUGGGACUGAGACACGGCCCAUACUCCUACGGGAGGCAGCAGUAGGGAAUCUUCCACAAUGGGCGAAAGCCUGAUGGAGCAACGCCGCGUGUGUGAUGAAGGGUUUCGGCUCGUAAAACACUGUUGUAAGAGAAGAAUGACAUUGAGAGUAACUGUUCAAUGUGUGACGGUAUCUUACCAGAAAGGAACGGCUAAAUACGUGCCAGCAGCCGCGGUAAUACGUAUGUUCCAAGCGUUAUCCGGAUUUAUUGGGCGUAAAGCGAGCGCAGACGGUUAUUUAAGUCUGAAGUGAAAGCCCUCAGCUCAACUGAGGAAUUGCUUUGGAAACUGGAUGACUUGAGUGCAGUAGAGGAAAGUGGAACUCCAUGUGUAGCGGUGAAAUGCGUAGAUAUAUGGAAGAACACCAGUGGCGAAGGCGGCUUUCUGGACUGUAACUGACGUUGAGGCUCGAAAGUGUGGGUAGCAAACAGGAUUAGAUACCCUGGUAGUCCACACCGUAAACGAUGAGUGCUAGGUGUUUGAGGGUUUCCGCCCUUAAGUGCCGCAGCUAACGCAUAAGCACUCCGC